CAGGGCCUAAUGACAGGGCAGCCCAAAUACAAGCUGCACAACAUCUGGACCUUUGAAGGCCCAUCUGCCCUGCACAGUAUUCUCAUUUAUGGAGCCUGUGCCUGUCCCUUAAUGUACAGUUGAUGUUGUUGAACCUAAGCAGCACCUGUGCACACAGGGCAUCAUUCCCAUUUCACAGAUGAGGAAACAGGCUCAGAGGGGAUCUUGCCCGGGGUCACCUAGUCAUUCAGUGACUGGUGGGUGGAAGGGGGGCACUCCACAUUCAUAUCCAGGUCUCCAGACCGAAGAGCUGAUGCACUCUCCAGCCCUCCCUCCAGGCUCCCUGGUCCUGUGUGACCCAAGUAGCAGAAUUAGUGCCUACGAGGGGAAGUCCGAGGCACGUAAGACCUUCUUCCCUGUUGGAGCCCUGAGCUUCCUCAGGAGGUAGUGGGCAUCAAAGAUGCUUCCCAGGGCCCCUCCCCUCUGUGGAUUCUGAAUGCUGGCGGACAUGUCCAAGACACUCCUGCCAGCUUCCCUUCUCUGGGCGGCCCUGGGCCCAGAGAACAGGGUGUCCUGGUGGCCAUGAGCAUCUCCUCUGCUCGGGUGUGGGUGUAGAUGCUUUGGAGUGAUUUGUUCCCUUAGGGAGAUAGAGGGAAGGUCAGAAGCCCUGGCCAUGUGGGAGGGAGCACAGUGCUGGAAAUGGCUGGCAUGCAGAGGAGAUGGAGAAUAGCCUGGAGGCCUGGGCACAAGCCUCCCCACUCAGGAUGGCUGUCUAGGACUCUGGAAGACAGCAUUUUGUCAGAUUUGGAGCCUUCUGAGCUCUGCUUUGAAGGUUUGGCUGUAUGUGAAAUGGCAGAGAAGGGCUUUCCAGGUGCAGGCUACAGAGUGUGCAAAGGCCCAGAGGGAGGAAAGUGCAGAGUGUCCGUGGGCAGUCACAGGUGGUGUGGGCAGUGGGGGCUCAGCUGGGCAGGAUGGGCCUCUGGGACGUGCAGGAAGAGCAGCUGAGGGCCAGUCCUCCCUGGGUGACCCUGGUGCUUCUUCCCCAGGAAGGUGUGUUCUAGCUCUCCAAUGAGGACUACUUCAUUGAGCCCCUCGCCGCUGCCCUGGCCCGGCCCGGCCCAGCCACGCCCAGCCCGUGUGGUGUACAAGCAUCAGGCCCCGGAGAGGCUGGCACAGUGGGGAGAUUCCAGUGCUCCAAGCACCUGUGGGGUGCAAGGUGGCUGGCCUGUUUCAUGACCCCAGCAUUGGGAACCACAUCCACAUCACCACUGUGCGCCUGGUCCUUCUGGAAAAUGAAGAGGAGGACCUAAAGACCACACACCAUGCAGACAACACCCUGAAGAGCUUCUGCGAGUGGCAGAAAAGCAUCAACAUGAAGAGGGAUGCCCACCCCCUGUACCAUGACACCGCCAUCCUGCUCAGCAGGUACCACCAGCCGCAGGAGGGUGGGAGCCUACAUCUCAGGGAGGUGCUUCACGGCCCUGCGGGAGAAGCCCUGGUGGAGGAGGGGGCCAUGCUCUCAGGGAGCCCCAUUUUGAGGAGAGUUUGCGCACCUUUGGCCCAAGGCUGGAUUCUGUCUGCACUCGGGGAUGUCAUUUUAUUUUGAAAUAAUUGUGGAUCUUCAUGCUGUUGUUAGAAAUAAUAGAGAGAGGGCAUGUAUAGCCCUCAUCCAUCUCCCCCAGUGGUAACAUCUUGCAUGAC